rnacentral:rRNA from 1 species
AACGUAGGAGGCGAGCGUUAUCCGGAUUUACUGGGUGUAAAGCGCGUGCAGGCGGUGGGCUAAGUUGGGUGUGAAAGCUCCCGGCUCAACUGGGAGGGGUCGUUCAAUACAACCGAACUUGAGGGCAUCAGAGGAAGGUGGAAUUCCGGGUGUAGUGGUGAAAUGCGUAGAUAUCCGGAGGAACACCAGUGGCGAAGGCGGCCUUCUGGGAUGCUCCUGACGCUCAGACACGAAAGCUAGGGGAGCGAACGGG